rnacentral:rRNA from 1 species
AACGAACGCUGGCGGCAUGCCUAACACAUGCAAGUCGAACGAGACCUUCGGGUCUAGUGGCGCACGGGUGCGUAACGCGUGGGAACCUGCCCUUAGGUUCGGAAUAACUCCCCGAAAGGGGUGCUAAUACCGGAUAAUGUCUUCGGACCAAAGAUUUAUCGCCUUUGGAUGGGCCCGCGUUGGAUUAGCUAGUUGGUAGGGUAAAAGCCUACCAAGGCGACGAUCCAUAGCUGGUCUGAGAGGAUGAUCAGCCACACUGGGACUGAGACACGGCCCAGACUCCUACGGGAGGCAGCAGUGGGGAAUAUUGGACAAUGGGCGAAAGCCUGAUCCAGCAAUGCCGCGUGAGUGAUGAAGGCCUUAGGGUUGUAAAGCACUUUUAUCCGCGCUGAUACUGACAGUACCGGGAGAAUAAGCUACGGCUAACUCCGGG